CAGGCCUCAGCCAAAUAGGGGAAAGAAUGCUCCUUAAGAACAAGGAGAUAAAGGCCAAAUGAAAAAUGUUGAGGUGACUUUGCAAGUGUUUGAAGAAAGUGAAGAUUUCUCUGAAUAUGUGAAGGACUAGAGUUAGGAAACUUGAUUCUAGGAUGCCAUCUUGUUGCAAUGCAUCUCAGUCAACCUCAAUGCAGUCUCCAAUGAUUGUAGUGAGGUCUGAACUGCUGUUCAAGUGGCAAAUUGGCAAAGGCAUGUGGCUACCUAAGAAUGUAUGUAGACAUCGAGCACUGACUUUAAAAGUAGGCUGUCAUGAGGUGCUCUGCUGGCUGGAAGCAUUCUGGGAACGCAUCUGUGGCUGGAGGUGUGCAGCAACACGGAGUGCUGGGGGAAGGAGCAUGAACUGGUUAUGGUUUGAAAAACAAAGCUAUUAGACAAGGGAGAGAAAAGGGAGGGAGAGCAUGGCAUUAGAUUUUCUGGGCAUUAGUGACUGUGGAGGGAGUCAGUUACAGCUUCAUAGUUUAGUGUGGAAAUUUAUUCUGCCUCAGAACUUGGCCACAGGGCAACAAUGCCUACCAGUCUCACAACUCUAAAUCUUUCUGGCUUUCAGACAGGUUUUGCAGAUGUCUCUUCUGUGCUUAAACACUGCUUCUGCCCCUCAAUUCAAUGAGGAAAUAGACCACAAACAGCACCUCCAUUAGAUCCUGAGCUUCUCCCAGUCACCUGAAAUCUAUAGGGCUCCUUAGUGGUUCCUGAAAUCAGAUUCUACUUACUGGGUCUAAGCGAAGCUGCCUGGACUGGCUGGCUGUCUUAACCUGCUCCAAAGCAGGAAUAUUUCCAAGUCAAAUCUUACAUCAAAUGAAGUCUAGGGGAAAGCUGAUACAAGCAACUAGGCAUUCACCACAUAGGAUCUGGAGAGGAGGGAGACAACUCUGCCUUUAAAAUCUCUUCCUGCUUAAAAAGCACUUCUCGCAAGUCUUAAAUAGCACAUCUUCAACUCAACAUUUGUCCCUGAGAAAUAUGUUUGAUGCUGUAUAAUUAAAGAGCACAACAUACAGAUGUAAUUAGUAUCCUGCAAAAAUAGCUUUUGCACUACCAGGCUCAUUCAGAUGGCAGAAAUGCAUGUUUGCAUGUGCUAUUUGCAGGCUGUUCUUGCAUCCUUGAUGUACCCCUGUGCCUAUGUCACAGGAGCCAUCUACCUGACAGCUCCCCAUCAGAAUUCUCCCCCCCAAAAUUGGGGAGUUGCUCCCUGAUGCCUCCCCUUGCAGUGUGUGGCUGGGCCGGGGCUGGGGGAGGAAUGCCCUGGGAAUGCCCAGGGUGCUUCCACAGCCUGGCUCCUUGGAGCUGUGUUGUGUUCACAGGCUCUCAGUCUGUCGAGUGUGGGCUGCAGGCAACUGCAUUUGGUGUUGUCAUAGCUGAGCCUAGAAACUCUCCAUGCUCACUGACACCCCAGUCUUUGUAGCUUGCGGCAUGGGAGGAAAGGGAUGUCUGCCAACACACCUGUUUUUCAAAACAUUAAAUGCUCUGAAUCAAGUGGUAGCAUGUUUUGACAAGGUAAGUCAUCCUUUUUGAAAUGGCCUUGGCUUGAUGUCUCAUUCAUUCUCAUGAGCCGUGUUUGUACUAGCAGGCUGCUGCUCCAACACAGCAACGUCACCUAGUGCAUUUAAGCUUUAUACGUACUGUACCUGCAGGACACGUUGCAAACAGCCAGGAAGCCCCAAGAACCUGUGUUUCAGGUGCAUUAGAGAACUAAUCUUUCCUCUCUUCCAUUUAAGGCUUUCUGAUCUGUGCUCUUUAGGAGAGGACAGUAUGUAUGUAGGUUACUGAGAACUAUUUGUUUAAUAAAACCUGCCAGUAAAUCCUUUGCUGCCCAUAGAUCAAUCUCUCCACAUACAGGGAAUCAAAAUCACCUUGUUGCGGGUUUCUGCAUGACUUUCAGAGCGUGGUGUGAUGCAAUCGGACAGGAUGCUCUUGGUAUUGCUUUUUGUGCAAGUCGUGGGCCACAGGGCAUUGUGUCUAACUUGGCAACUUUAGCCUUAAGUCUUAAAUGAAGAAAACAAGCAGAUAAAUCCUAGGAGCUUUUCUUCCAAAGAACAAUUAGUGACUUCAUAAUGCCUGGUUAAUGUAGUAGUUAAUUGCUGACUAUUACAGUCCUUUUUGGAGGACUAAAACAAUGUAUCAAUAAAUCAGCAC